GCACAUGUAUUCAUCUCAAUCCACAUGUGUUGAAGUGGAUUGGAGUGGAAUUAAACUAAGUUCCAUUCCAAUCCACUCCAACACAUGUGGAUUGAAGUGGAUAACUGG
rnacentral:pre_miRNA from 1 species